rnacentral:tRNA from 1 species
GCUGCGAUGGCUGAGUGGUUAAGGCAUUGGACUUAAAAUCCAAUGGGGUCUCCCCACACAGGUCGUACUCUGCUCACAGUG